ensembl:snoRNA
UUGCACGUGGAAGUGUCUUCUCCUCAUUCCUGUGGAAGCAGGAAUACAUGCUACAUUAAAAAAGGAGUUCUCAGGGCUGCCAGCCUUACAGUAGAAGUUGAGUAGUAGUAUAUUUCUCCUGCAUUA